AAGACAGUAGCUCAGUGUAUCCAAUUAUCCAUACAAUGUAAAAGGUCAUGAACAUACUAGACGCAAUAUUAUCACCAUUUAUAGUACAAUAAACUCAGAUCUUACAGUACAAAUUGACAUUAUCAGACAAUGCAGGAAACUGUGUGUUUUCUCUCAGCCAUAUCAUACACCAAAAGCACAGUGCCCAGCAAAUGUGAAACCAGACUUGUUACCGGUGAGUAUGAGGAGGUCAUCGCUACCUAUCACAACUGCACGAGUAGGUCAUCAUUUGUAAUCUGGCACAACACUGCAAGGAGGUCGGCAUCAUUGAUCCUGAAAUUUUAAGUAUUGUUUGGUGAAGUUAACUCAAACAAUAAUAUGUCUAAGAACGACCAGACUACAAGUGAAGCUUAUGAUUACAAAUACAUAAUCUAAACAUUGAGUUUAAAUAUUUAAGUUCAGAACAUAAAUGUAAUAUGAUUAUGUCCAUCACAUUCCUAUGCUUUCAUGAUGAAUUAUACACUUAAUAGCUACCAACAAGCAUAGGCAAUUAUGUAUGACAAACUAAAAGAAUUUCUGCUCAACACGUGUACUGGGUUUAACUUUUACAAUAAAGUAAAUUACAAGAUAUACCAUAAGAAUUAAUAUCCCAAGGAGCAGAUCAUUGUACUUUUUUGGUCCAACAAAACAUGUAUGCAAGAGCAUGACUAGUGUAUUCAACAAGGUGUGGUGUAGCUAGGGAGUCCAAGCGAGGUGACAUGUAGUUUCUCACAAGCACGAGCUCAGAGCAAGCAAACAGAGGUGGGGAGAAGAGAGCUCACCAUGGCUCUCAUGUAGCUGAUGCCAAAGAGGCGGCAUGUCUGUUCAACAGAAGAUGCUGGGGCCGAGUGAGCCUACCACGGCACACCUCGAUGAGCCCACCCUUGUACUCUGCAAAUCCUGUUGCCGCUGGACAUGACGGACAAGAGACAUAACAAGAUAAUGUUGAUCAAAUCUAAGGAUAAAUAAUGUCCUGGAACAAAGGAGCAGCUUAGAUAGCUCACAUUUCAUGUCCUGGAAAUCAUGUCGAGGUACACCAAACAACACCUAUCAAUGCUCAGCAGCUGCACCUUGAUACACAGAGUGAAAAAAAGAGGUCAAUCACCUCCACAAAGAGCAGCACCUUGAGAAGGAAUUGUACAAGGAAUUGUGCCAGCUGCCAAAGAAGACAGGGCUCUCUGCUUCAUUCAUUCUAGACUAUUUGCAAUUUUAGUUUGGUUUAGAGUUAGAAAUGAAUCUUGAACAAAAAGGAAAAGAAAAGGUGUUCGUCAUAUUUGUUCUUCAUACAAGAAACUGAACCAACAAGUUGUUUCAGUCAGAGCUAACUCAAUAUUUACGUAGAGAGGUCAGGUUUGCUGAAACUAAAUCAAAGUGAAUACCAUGAUGAUCAUAACUUUAUUUGAGUUUUUUCUAUACUCCUUAAAAUUAGAAACUGAAUUCUUAGAUCAGGAUUCAUGUCAUCUAGAUAUUAAAAUCAGAAAGCUCAAAUACAUAUUUUGGAAGCAAAUCUGUUUUUUCUAUACUCCUUGUAAUCCUUAAAAUCAGAAAGACAAUGGAAGAACUUUGAGAGAACUAUUUUUUUCUCAAGUUUGUAGAGCUAUGACUACAUAUUUUGGAGGCAAGGUUGUCCCUGUACUAAGGAGAGCAAGCUAGCUCAAAUACAUAAGAACACCUUUAAGCUUUAUAUUGAUUCCCUGAUUUGUUGGAACUACGAAAUCGCUAGUUCUGAAUUCCAACAUGAUAGCUGCAUAGUCCAACUAGCUACACUAGGAGCUACAGAGUAUGCCUACUCAUACUAUCUUCAGAUCGAGCUAAUUUCAUGGCACAGAUGGCUGAUGCAAUCAAAUUUGGGCUAAUAAACUGAAUAGUAAUCGAACCUUCCUUUCUCUGCUUCCCCUAGUUCCACACUAAAAGAGGAGGUAGCCUGUGUUUCGGCUGCAGCAGACAGGAGAGAGCAGAGGGCAGAGAGACGUGGUACCGAAGAGGAGGCAGUCGCAGUCGGGGCGGCCAUUGUCGUCGUACUUGGUGCAGAGGGCGGCGGAGGAGUUCGGUGUCGCCGCUGUCCAGCCAAUGCACGCGAGCGCACCAAGCUAUGGGGGCGCCAUCCAGGAGGCGCAAAGGGCGCCAGGGGGCACGGUGGGCGAUGGAGAGGAGCCGCCUGAGACACGUCGUCGAUGGACGCAGCGCUGGAGCCGAAACCCUAGCCACGGGCUAGGGGUCACGACGAGCUUCGGAUAGCGGGAGGGG
rnacentral:lncRNA from 1 species